rnacentral:lncRNA from 1 species
UACAAGCAAGAAACUCCUAAGAUCACCCGCAACGGUAUAGUUUGAGGGUCCUUAACACAUAAUCCUAGACUAAUUGGAAUAAAAUAAUAUUAACAAAGCUCAGUUUGGUAAGGAGCAGUCCUAAUCAAGAGGUUUUAAGGAGCAAAUCCUUAGUGACGUGGCAAGAUCUUUUCCGAUCAUCACCGGAGCUAACGUCUUCCGAUCACUUAUAGAAACCACUUUUAAAACUCAUUAAAAGAUUAGAAUUGCUAUAGAAACUUGAAUUUUUUUUUUUUUAAAAAAUAACUUAUAGAAACCACUUUUAAAAUUGAUUAAAAGAUUAGAAUUGCUAUAGAAACUUGAAAAGAAAAAAAAACUUAUAGAAACCACUUUUAAAACUCAUUAAAAGAUUAAAAUUGCUAUAGAAACUUGAAAAAAAAAAUAACUUAUAGAAACCACUUUUAAAAUUGAUUAAAAAAUUAGAAUUGCUAUAGAAACUUGAAAAAAAAUUAAAAAAAAUAACUUAUAGAAACCACUUUUAAAACUCAUUAAAAGAUUAGAAUUGCUAUAGAAACUUGAAAAAAAUAAUAAAAAAAUAACUUAUAGAAACCACUUUUAAAACUAAUUAAAAGAUUAGAAUUGCUAUAGAAAAUUGAAAAAAAAAUUAAAAAAAUAACUUAUAGAAACCACUUUUAAAAUUUCUAUUAAAUCAUGUUAUAAAUAAAAAAAAAUUAAUUUCACUUUUUUAAAAAAAUAUAAUUUUCUUAUUAAUAAAGAUUCCAAAAGUAAGACCCACUAUUGGACUUAUAUAUUGGAUUAGGAUCCUUAACUAUUAAAAAAAAAUAGUAAAGUAAGCUUAAGGACUUCAUGGUAAGCCUCAUCAUUGCGGAUGCUCUAAUAAAGUUGCUGGGCAUUCUAAAUUUUUAAUAAACAUGUCAUGUCAUCCUAGUUGGUAUUAAGUUUUGGAUUAAUCAAAAAUAUGAAACUGAACCAAAAAUCAUUAUAGUAAACAUGCGUAUAAACAUCAUUUGUUUCAUUAUUUAUCUAUGUUUACGUUUGUGUUUGCAUUAAAAUUAUUAAAAUAUGGAAAUACAAACAUAAGCACACAACAUUUUUUUAAUGGUGCUAUAGUAAAAUUGUCUUCACAGUCAUUUUUUGGAAAACAAAUCAUAGUAAUUAUGAUAUGAACAAGUUAUGAUUUGCUUAAGAACUACGGAAAAGACCAUCAUUUUCCGUGCCAUUUUAUUCCGAUCAUCUCAAAC